rnacentral:rRNA from 1 species
AAGCGUGCGCAGGCGGUUGUGCAAGUCUGAUGUGAAAGCCCCGGGCUUAACCUGGGAACGGCAUUGGAGACUGCACGACUAGAGUGCGUCAGAGGGGGGUAGAAUUCCACGUGUAGCAGUGAAAUGCGUAGAGAUGUGGAGGAAUACCGAUGGCGAAGGCAGCCCCCUGGGAUGACACUGACGCUCAUGCACGAAAGCGUGGGGAGCAAACAGGAUUAUAUACCCCCUGU